UCACUCUCUUUAUCAGAGCUUCUCUCUCUAGCUGUAGGUCUCUGCUGGUGCAAAAUGAUGAAUUAGCCGAAAUUCAUUGCCAAACUCGACUUCUAGAUAAGCUUAAGCUGAUUUACGCCAAUAAACAUUGAUCUGUUCUUCCCCAUCUGCUUCAAAUCUUCUAGUCCCGGAUGUAAUGCCCUGCACUCCUUUUCUUUAUGCCCCUGUAAUUUGCAAUGUUUGCAGUACUUAGAAAGGUCUGGUUCUGCUUGUUGUGGCCAAGUCAACUGUCAAAGGCCUACCCAUAGUUGAUGUCAUUGAGAAGACUGCCUGCCUUCCUUGUAAUGAAAUUUAGAGGCAGUUCUCGGAAGCAUAUCCAUGCAACAACUUGCAGAAGUUUCUUCAUCUAGCUUAAACCAAGGGAUCCAAAUUAAUGGUCUCAUCUGACAAUACCUAGAUUGAACUUUGAUGUAAUAAGCCAGUGUAGAUAACAUUUUAACAUAGUCCUCCAGUAAAGAUAAUAUAUAUGUAUGUCUUCAAUUAAGACAAUUAUGCAUGAACCUUUAGUGGUACAUUGAUCUGGGAUGGCUUUCCGUAAAUCCUUUAUAUCAAUUAUGUCAUAAGAAAACCUAUCCAAAAUUGCAUAUUGUAAGUUUUCCUAAAUGAUUAACUGUUUGACCUC